rnacentral:rRNA from 1 species
GCAAGUCGGACGGUAUAUAUGUUUUCGGAUAUAUAGAGAGUGGCGAACGGGUGAGUAACUCGUACACAACCUACCCUUAAGAGGAGGAUAGCCCUGGGAAACUGGGAAUAAUACUCCAUAGUAAUAUCAGAUUGAAGGAUUAGAUAUUUAAAGGAUAGAAUUGCUUAAGGAUGGGUGUGCGUCUCAUUAGCUAGUUGGUAAGGUAACGGCUUACCAAGGCGACGAUGGGUAGGGGGCGUGAGAGCGUGAAC